rnacentral:lncRNA from 1 species
CGCUAAGUAUCUGAGUGUGUCACAGAGCUAGUAAAAGGCAGAGCUGGGAUCAGAUACAUUGAUUCAUUCACUCAAAAACCUUUUUUUAUCGAGUGCAUACUAUGUAUCAGCCUCUGGGUACUGAGCAUGGGAGCAGAAUCAGACACCCCGAACUGACAGGGCUCACAGACGAGAAGGGGAGACAGUUCUCAAUCAUAGAAAUCACUUGUUCUCACAAACGGUGACACGUGCUAUGAAGAAAAAGGCCUGAGAACUAGGAGGGCAUCUAGAGGCGCCCUUUCUGGUCUAGGCGUCCUACAGGCAGCUGGAGGAAGACGUCUGAGCUGACAUCAGAUUCAUGGGUAGGAGUCUACCAGGCCAGGGGGGGUGGACUCCUAGGAGCGGGAUGGCUGGGUGAAGGAUAUGAACUCUGUUAAGGGUUUUGAUGCAUAUUGCCAAACCACUUUCCAAAAAGCCCGUGAUGAUUCCUCCCCGAUCGGCAGCUCACAGGUGCACCUUUCCCCACGCAGGAGGACUUCUCACCUAACUUUACUCAGGCAUCGUCCUUCAGAGAUCCUGUCCACCUCUGGGUCCGCGUCUCUUUGUGAUCAACUCCAGCCUCUUCCCUCCUUCCCAUGAGCUCUGCAUUGCACCUGGGUCCACCUGGACCCCAGCCACGGUCACCGUGGCUGAACUCGAUUCUUUGUCCUCUGUACCCUGUGGAACUUAGUCUGUGUCCCUCCCGCCACGUCGCCUGAUGCUGUAUGUGGGAGCCGUCUUCCUGGUGGACAGUGAGCUCCCUGGGCAGGCACUGAGUGUCCCUAUGGUAUCCCUUGUAGGGUACACCUUGAGGAUACACCUCACCCACUGUAGGUAUCCAAGUAACAUUUGAUCCAGUGAAUAAGUAUGAAUGAAUGAAGGAUAUUGUUAAGUAUGAAUGAACGAAGGAUAUUGUUUUCCCCGUUUCUGGAGAAAAAAAUCCACAAAAGCCUGUUUGUCUUGGUGUUGCUUUUUUUGUACCCUUUAACCCAUUCCACAGAUUAGCAACAACAUGUAUUUCAUUGGUGGUUCUUAAUAAACAUUAAAUUAGGCCAGGUGCAGUGGCUCACACCUGUAUUCCCAGCACUUUGGGAGGCAGAGGAGGGAGGAUCACUUGAGCCCAG